UACGAAGGGUGCAAGCGUUACUCGGAAUUACUGGGCGUAAAGCGUGCGUAGGUGGUUCGUUAAGUCUGAUGUGAAAGCCCUGGGCUCAACCUGGGAAUGGCAUUGGAUACUGGCGACCUAGAGUGCGGUAGAGGGGUGUGGAAUUCCCGGUGUAGCAGUGAAAUGCGUAGAUAUCGGGAGGAACAUCUGUGGCGAAGGCGACACCCCGGACCAGCACUGACACUGAGGCACGAAAGCGUGGGGAGCAAACAGG
rnacentral:rRNA from 1 species